AGCCAGACUCCUACGGGAGGCAGCAGUGGGGGAUAUUGCACAAUGGGGGCAACCCUGAUGCAGCGACGCCGCGUGAGCGAUGGAGUACUUCGGUAUGUAAAGCUCUGUCAGCAGGGAAGAGAAUGACGGUACCUGACCAAGAAGCCCCGGCUAAAUACGUGCCAGCAGCCGCGGUAAUACGUAGGGGGCAAGCGUUAUCCGGAUUUACUGGGUGUAAAGGGAGCGUAGACGGCGGGGCAAGUCUGGAGUGAAAGGCCGGGGCCAACCCCGGGACCGCUCUGGAAACUGCCCGGCUGGAGUGCGGGAGAGGUAAGCGGAAUUCCUAGUGUAGCGGUGAAAUGCGUAGAUAUUAGGAGGAACACCAGCGGCGAAGGCGGCUUACUGGACCGUGACUGACGUUGAGGCUCGAAAGCGUGGGGAGCAAACAGGAUUAGAUACCCGUGUA
rnacentral:rRNA from 1 species